ACGUUUUUUUCAUAGAGAUUUAGAUUUAAGGUUAGAAGAAUUGUGGAAGUCGUGAGACUUCCCUUUUUUUCAUCUUAACGAUUACUAUCCUCCAUUAUUAGAAUGCUUCUUUUUCAUUUUAAAAGCAGGAAGUAAUGUAGAAUAAGUAAUCCUAAAAAGCCUUCUUCGUGAGAAGAGGCUUUUUU
rnacentral:sRNA from 2 species